GUACGAGCUAUAGCUUAAAAACCAAAGAAUAUGGCGGUAUUUUAAUUUAUCAGGGUGGCUUGUAAUUUAAUUUGAUAGUCCACGGUAUUAUAACCUUAUUUUGAAAUAUUCAGCAUGUGUACUGCCGUUUAAUAUAAUUUUAUAAAAUUAUGUAAUAUAUAUAUAUAUAUAUAUAUAUAUAUAUAUAUAUAUAUAUAUAUAUAUAUAUAUAUAGUCAGGUCAAAGUGCAGUCUAUAGUAAUGGUAUAUAUGAGCUACAUUUAUUUAAACAUUCAUUUUUUUUUAUGAAAUUAAAAAAUAGAAGAACUUGAUAGUAAUUAUAAUUUAUUAAUUAUA
rnacentral:rRNA from 1 species